rnacentral:tRNA from 1 species
AAAAAGGUAAGCUAAAUAGAAGCUAAUGGGUUCAUACCCCGUAAAUAGGAUCAUCCUCCUUUUUA